rnacentral:rRNA from 1 species
UACGUAGGGUGCAAGCGUUGUCCGGAUUUAUUGGGCGUAAAGAGCUCGUAGGCGGUUUGUCGCGUCGGCUGUGAAAGCCCGGGGCUCAACUCCGGGUCUGCAGUCGAUACGGGCAGACUAGAGUUCGGUAGGGGAGACUGGAAUUCCUGGUGUAGCGGUGAAAUGCGCAGAUAUCAGGAGGAACACCGGUGGCGAAGGCGGGUCUCUGGGCCGAUACUGACGCUGAGGAGCGAAAGCGUGGGGAGUAAACAGG